rnacentral:rRNA from 1 species
AUUGAACGCUGGCGGCAUGCUUUACACAUGCAAGUCGAACGGCAGCGCGGGCUUCGGCCUGGCGGCGAGUGGCGAACGGGUGAGUAAUGCAUCGGAACGUGCCCAGUAGUGGGGGAUAGCCCGGCGAAAGCCGGAUUAAUACCGCAUACGACCUGAGGGUGAAAGCGGGGGACCGAAAGGCCUCGCGCUAUUUGAGCGGCCGAUGUCGGAUUUGCUAGUUUGUGGGGUAAAGGCUUACCAAGGCGACGAUCCGUAGCUGGUCUGAGAGGACGACCAGCCACACUGGGACUUAGACACGGCCCAGACUCCUACGGGAGGCAGCAGUGGGGAAUUUUGGACAAUGGGGGCAACCCUGAUCCAGCCAUGCCGCGUGCGGGAAGAAGGCCUUCGGGUUGUAAACCGCUUUUGUUCGGGAAGAAAUCCUCUGGGCUAAUACCCCGGGGGGAUGACGGUACCGGAAGAAUAAGCACCGGCUAACUACGUG